GAUGAACGCUGGCGGCGUGCCUAAUACAUGCAAGUCGAGCGAACAGACGAGGAGCUUGCUCCUCUGACGUUAGCGGCGGACGGGUGAGUAACACGUGGAUAACCUACCUAUAAGACUGGGAUAACUUCGGGAAACCGGAGCUAAUACCGGAUAAUAUAUUGAACCGCAUGGUUCAAUAGUGAAAGACGGUUUUGCUGUCACUUAUAGAUGGAUCCGCGCCGCAUUAGCUAGUUGGUAAGGUAACGGCUUACCAAGGCAACGAUGCGUAGCCGACCUGAGAGGGGGGUCGCCCACACGGGAACGGGGACACGGACCAGACUCCUGCGGGAGGCAGCAGAAGGGAAUCUGCCGCAAUGGGCGAAAGCCUGACGGAGCAAGGCCGCGUGAGUGAUGAAGGUCUUCGGAGCGUAAAACUCUGUUAUUGGGGAAGAACAAAUGUGUAAGUAACUAUGCACGUCUUGACGGUACCUAAUAAGAAAGCAACGGCUAACUACGUG
rnacentral:rRNA from 1 species